ensembl:lncRNA
AGGCAAACGAAAUACUCUUUUGAAAUGGCAUUAAAGAAUGCUAAAUGAUCACUUCAGCAUAAAAAAACUUCGGAUUGUACGUGAGACCAAAUGGUUGCUGGACAGCAUUACAAGGAACCUGACGACAUCCAAACAACCAAUCAGAAAAGUCUGCACGUGUCGGGGAGAGGAUGCGUUCCUGAAUCCUCGGACGCCAGCCUUCCGAGUUGCACGUUGGAUGUCACAUCAGGUCUCGGAGCAUUCAUAGCAUUCCUGUUCGUCUUUGUGAUUGUGGCAUGAAAUUGGCUAGUCGUUUAUUGUUAGCUACAUUAGCCUCUUUAGCGAACCAGCCCGAAAACAACGCAACUUUACAUUGUAUUGAACGCACAGCAUGACCAUGCAAUGUAUAGGCCUAAACUGGUGACCGGAAUAAAUGAGCAAUGUAAUCAAGGUUGUAAGAGCGUUUAUCGACAUUAAAA